UACGGAGGAUCCAAGCGUUAUCCGGAUUUAUUAGGUUUAAAGGGUGCGUAGGCGGGACAAUAAGUCAGUGGUGAAAUACUUCAGCUUAACUGGAGCACUGCCAUUGAUACUGUCGUUCUUGAGUACAGUUGAGGUAGGCGGAAUGAGUAGUGUAGCGGUGAAAUGCUUAGAUAUUACUCAGAACACCGAUUGCGAAGGCAGCCUGCUAAACUGUAACUGACGCUGAUGCACGAAAGCGCGGGGAGCGAACAGG
rnacentral:rRNA from 1 species